rnacentral:snRNA from 1 species
GGAUGUGAGGGCAUUCUGGCAGCGACAUCUGUCACCUCACUGAUUCAGCAACAUCUGUCACCUCACUGAUUCAGCUGAUCUGGCUGGCUAGUCUGGUGUCCUCUUCCUUCCUCACCGCUCAAUGUGCGUCCCUAUGGAAGAUUCAUGCUCAGUUGAAAAGGACUACCAUCCUCCAUAGAGGAAGGCCAUUCUUCUGUUAAGGGUAUAUGAGCAUCUAUGCUCCCCUGCUAGAACCUUCAAACAAGCACUCAAGGUGACCCUUUAUAAAAAAAUAUUCAGUCAAUGUGAUGGUUUGCCCUGAUGGAAUUUUGAAUGUUAAACCCUCUUUUCU